rnacentral:rRNA from 1 species
AACGAACGCUGGCGGCAGGCCUAACACAUGCAAGUCGAACGUGAAGCCACCUUCGGGUGGUGGAAAGUGGCAGACGGGUGAGUAACGCGUGGGAACGUGCCUUUCGGUUCGGAAUAACCCAGGGAAACUUGGGCUAAUACCGGAUACGCCCUUCGGGGGAAAGAUUCAUCGCCGAAAGAUCGGCCCGCGUCGGAUUAGCUAGUUGGUGGGGUAAUGGCCCACCAAGGCGACGAUCCGUAGCUGGUCUGAGAGGAUGACCAGCCACACUGGGACUGAGACACGGCCCAGACUCCUACGGGAGGCAG